rnacentral:rRNA from 1 species
AUUGAACGCUGGCGGCAUGCUUUACACAUGCAAGUCGAACGGUAACAGGCCUUCGGGUGCUGACGAGUGGCGAACGGGUGAGUAAUGCAUCGGAACGUGCCCAGAGGUGGGGGAUAACGCAGCGAAAGCUGUGCUAAUACCGCAUGUGAUCUGAGGAUGAAAGCGGGGGACCAGGCAGCAAUGUUUGGCCUCGCGCCUUUGGAGCGGCCGAUGUCAGAUUAGGUAGUUGGUGGGGUAAAGGCCUACCAAGCCGACGAUCUGUAGCUGGUCUGAGAGGACGACCAGCCACACUGGGACUGAGACACGGCCCAGACUCCUGCGGGAGGCAGCAGUGGGGAAUUUUGGACAAUGGGCGCAAGCCUGAUCCAGCAAUGCCGCGUGCGGGAAGAAGGCCUUCGGGUUGUAAACCGCUUUUGUACGGAACGAAAAGGCUCUGGCUAAUACCUGGGGCUGAUGACGGUACCGUAAGAAUAAGCACCGGCUAACUACGUG